rnacentral:rRNA from 1 species
GUAAUGCCGGAUGUUCCACAUGAUCGCAUGUGAUUGUGGGAAAGAUUCUAUCGGCGUGGGAUGGGGUCGCGUCCUAUCAGCUUGUUGGUGAGGUAACGGCUCACCAAGGCUUCGACGGGUAGCCGGCCUGAGAGGGCGACCGGCCACAUUGGGACUGAGAUACGGCCCAGACUCCUACGGGAGGCAGCAGUGGGGAAUAUUGCACAAUGGGCGCAAGCCUGAUGCAGCGACGCCGCGUGAGGGAUGGAGGCCUUCGGGUUGUAAACCUCUUUUGUUUGGGAGCAAGCCUUCGGGUGAGUGUACCUUUCGAAUAAGCGCCGGCUAACUACGUGCCAGCAGCCGCGGUAAUACGUAGGGCGCAAGCGUUAUCCGGAUUUAUUGGGCGUAAAGGGCUCGUAGGCGGCUCGUCGCGUCCGGUGUGAAAGUCCAUCGCUUAACGGUGGAUCUGCGCCGGGUACGGGCGGGCUGGAGUGCGGUAGGGGAGACUGGAAUUCCCGGUGUAACGGUGGAAUGUGUAGAUAUCGGAAAAGAAC